UUGAGGAUUAUCGGGAAUUGGGUAAAUGACUAAAAUGGCCCUACUUGGGUAAAAGGGUUUAGAAUUAAUAGGGAGGGCAUUUUGGUCAAUUGGCUUUUGAAGAUAGAAUAAAUGAGGCUUUAUACACUUAGUGGAUUUUGUAGAAUAGAGUAAAGGGGCUGAAAAAGAAAGGAAAAAGGAAAGAAAGAAAAGAGAGAAAACUGAUGGGUUUUCUAAGGGAUCGGUUUGGGGGUUCUAGCACCUCUUCUCUUCAUUUUUCUUGAGGUCAAGUUCAGUGGGGAGCUAGGAUAGGCUGAGCAUCAAGAAUCUUAAGGUUACACUUGAAGACUUGGCAAGGAUUAGCAAGAACAUCUGAAACUUGAGGUCAAGCUUUGAUGAUGAUCAAGCUAAGGAGGCCUAGGGUUGAAUCAAGGUCGAAAUUGCAUUAAUGGUAUGAUUUCUAAGACUCUAUCUUUGUGGUUUACAUGAAUUUCUGGUUUAGGGUUGUUCAUGGUAGAUUUUGAGUUGUUGGGUUGCUUGAGCUUGGGAUUGAGUUCUUGGGAUGCUUGGGAUGAGUGUGAGGUGUGUAUAAGUUUUUUUUUUGGGCUUGGGAAAGACUUGGACAAGUUUGGAGUUGAAAUGAGAGAAGAAAAUCGCAAGAAGCGAUUUUUGGUUUUGGUUGCCUGCAACUAGCGCUACAGCGCUAGUCUUUGGGCGCUGUAGCGCUAGGCCUUCUUUCUGGGGAGGUGCUGAUUCUGCUUGUAGUGCUAUAGCGCUCUCUUUUGAGCGCUGUAGCGCUACCCUGCGCCCAGAAUGGGGUUUUUGGGCUAUUUGUGAGGAUUUUGACCUAGGGUUCGGGGUUCGACUCCGCCACCUUGUUUUGUGGAUCUAGGACUUCCUGGGGGGGGGGGGGGGGGGG